AUGUUCCUGAAAGAGACAUGCUCUUCAAACGCCUUUUGGUCUAAUAUGAUAUAAUCAAGCAUCAUUCAUGGAUAUAUGCUGUAAUGAUGCACUCUUGACCUUUUUGAGCGACGAAUUAUGAGACUCUAUCUGCAUACAAUAUCAGCUCUAGCCCAGAGCUAUAUGGGUACUUCAUGAAUGCAAUUCUUAAUGGGAGGGCUCUAUGAGUGGAGCGAAGCCAGAUAAUUGCGGCUUUCUGUGCAAUGGAAAUUAACUUUCAAUUUGGAAUGCUUUACAGUAGAGUAAAUAACAUGAAAGGAGUCCGGGGUAGGCCGGUUUGGAUCCAUCACAAUGAAAUCAGCGAGAAUACCGAAAAAGGAGAAAUCCCCGCAAAAAAAGGAGCCGAAACAUUAACAGAAAUUGGGCCGACUAAUCAUAGUAUUGAGUAGAAAUGGCAGAACAGCAGAGAGAAAAAAUGCUUGACUUCCACGUAAACGGGAGAGCGGGCCGCAAAGGUUGCUACGAGUGACCUUCUCCUUG